UACUCCUACGGGAGGCAGCAGUGGGGAAUAUUGCACAAUGGGCGCAAGCCUGAUGCAGCCAUGCCGCGUGUAUGAAGAAGGCCUUCGGGUUGUAAAGUACUUUCAGCGGGGAGGAAGGGAGUAAAGUUAAUACCUUUGCUCAUUGACGUUACCCGCAGAAGAAGCACCGGCUAACUCCGUGCCAGCAGCCGCGGUAAUACGGAGGGUGCAAGCGUUAAUCGGAAUUACUGGGCGUAAAGCGCACGCAGGCGGUUUGUUAAGUCAGAUGUGAAAUCCCCGGGCUCAACCUGGGAACUGCAUCUGAUACUGGCAAGCUUGAGUCUCGUAGAGGGGGGUAGAAUUCCAGGUGUAGCGGUGAAAUGCGUAGAGAUCUGGAGGAAUACCGGUGGCGAAGGCGGCCCCCUGGACGAAGACUGACGCUCAGGUGCGAAAGCGUGGGGAGCAAACAGGAUUAGAUACCCCGGUAGUCCGAA
rnacentral:rRNA from 1 species